rnacentral:misc_RNA from 1 species
AAUGAAUUGGAAGCAAAGCCCACAUGUGAAGAACUUGAAGAAAGCAAAGAAAAUAAGGAAAGGGUAGAAAUCUGAUGAUUGGAAAGUAGAAUAGGAACUCGGGGAAAGAAAAUUUUGAGAGAAAAUCAAGAAAAUUACAAAGAACUCCAAGAACCGGUUUUCAGUAUAAUCUGGAGUUUCAAGAACUUUAAGAAACAAAGAAAAUUAAGGAAGAAUAAAGAUCUAAUUCUUGGAAAGCAGAAAUUUGAGGAAGAAAGAAGAUUUCAAAAAAUUAAAGAAAGAAAAUACGAAUUCCCAAUAAAACUCUAAUUUCAGGGUUUGUACCUUGACGAAAAAAACCGAUGAGAAGGAAGAAAGAAGGGAGAAGGAAAAAGAACUAUAGGGAAGAAAUUUCAGGGAAGAAGAAGAAGAAUAGAGAGA